UAUGAACGCUGGCGGCGUGCCUAAUACAUGCAAGUCGAGCGAACAGACGAGGAGCUUGCUCCUCUGACGUUAGCGGCGGACGGGUGAGUAACACGUGGAUAACCUACCUAUAAGACUGGGAUAACUUCGGGAAACCGGAGCUAAUACCGGAUAAUAUAUUGAACCGCAUGGUUCAAUAGUGAAAGACGGUUUUGCUGUCACUUAUAGAUGGAUCCGCGCCGCAUUAGCUAGUUGGUAAGGUAACGGCUUACCAAGGCAACGAUGCGUAGCCGACCUGAGAGGGUGAUCGGCCACACUGGAACUGAGACACGGUCCAGACUCCUACGGGAGGCAGCAGUAGGGAAUCUUCCGCAGUGGGCGAAAGCUUGACGGAGCAACGCCGCGUGAGUGAUGAAGGUCUUCGGAUCGUAAAACUCUGUUAUUAGGGAAGAACAAAUGUGUAAGUACUAUGCACGUCUUGACGGUACCUAAUCAGAAAGCCACGGCUAACUACGUG
rnacentral:rRNA from 1 species